rnacentral:rRNA from 1 species
UAGGGAAUCUUCGGCAAUGGACGGAAGUCUGACCGAGCAACGCCGCGUGAGUGAAGAAGGUUUUCGGAUCGUAAAGCUCUGUUGUUAGAGAAGAACGUUGGUAGGAGUGGAAAAUCUACCAAGUGACGGUAACUAACCAGAAAGGGACGGCUAACUACGUGCCAGCAGCCGCGGUAAUACGUAGGUCCCGAGCGUUGUCCGGAUUUAUUGGGCGUCAAGCGAGCGCAGGCGGUUCUUUAAGUCUGAAGUUAAAGGCAGUGGCUUAACCAUUGUACGCUUUGGAAACUGGAGGACUUGAGUGCAGAAGGGGAGAGUGGAAUUCCAUGUGUAGCGGUGAAAUGCGUAGAUAUAUGGAGGAACACCGGUGGCGAAAGCGGCUCUCUGGUCUGUAACUGACGCUGAGGCUCGAAAGCGUGGGGAGCAAACAGG